rnacentral:lncRNA from 1 species
GUUUGUUGAGACCGAUCAGGAAGCAGCUGUUAAGGCAUGAAAAUAACAUGCUGAGGCCGGAAAUUAUCCUGACGUCUCAUCUAAAACCUCCUGUGGUUUCACACCUCCAAAUGGCAAAACGUCACCUCUGGUUUUGGAGACCUUUCACACUGAACUGAUCGUUCCCUCCACGUCCUGACAUGGAAGUAAGCGAUGAUGAUACGUACAGUUAUGAUUGGAAUAUAUAUAUACAUAUCCGUGUUUUGAAGAAAUCUAACAAUUCUGGACACGAGGAUCAUUACAAAUCAACACUGCCAUCCGCAGAGCUACGCUGCUGUGGAACGCAGCACCCAGGAAGCAAGCGCUCCAAGUUCUGCUUCGCUGCAGACGUGGUGGAUAAGAUUGUCCCAGCUGUGGUGCGCCUGGAACUUUUCCAGCUGAAGCAAGACAAAAUAACACCUUCAACGCCAGGAAAUAGGACUGCCCCUUUUUGUCCUUUCCCCUCGCCAGGCUGCCUGUUUCCAGCGAGGAGCUCUCUGUGGCGAGCGGCUCCGGGUUUACAGUGUCAGAGGACGGCUGGAUCUUCAACAAACAGAAGAUAGAAGUUGGACGCUACAGUCACGGACGUGGAUCAGAAAAUGGACGUGGCGCUCAUCACACUGAGCCAGAUGUGAGUGGCCACAUUUUCCCCCUCAGCUCCCGACGGGCCUCAGACUAAAGUCAGUCUUGUGUUUUCAUCAGGCCUGGCAGCUUGUCAUCAGAGGCCGACAUCAAAGUGGAUAAAUCCUGAACAGAAAGGGGGCGGAUGAUCCGGUCAACGAGGGCUUUUUCCCACCAAAAUUAGACUCCAUCCCAACACGGUCGAUUUGUCGCCCGACCUCCUCUGGGGUGGUAUCGCCUUUUACAAUUCAAGGCUCAGCUUUUCUUUUUUUUUUUGUAUAUUUGCGAACGCAGCUCUGAAUAAAACAUGUCACUGCUCAGACAUGUUCUCACACAGCCAGUUUCUUUGCAUGGUGGAGGAGGAGGACUGUACUUCCAACCACUUCAGUCAGACUCCGCUCAGCAUGAAGUUUACGAUUAACAUUUUUUAGCGCUGAUCUGAAUACAGGAACGGCCCAACAUCAAGAGCAA